ACGCGGGGACGUGGGGCGGGGCCGAGACGCGCGGGAGGGCGCCGCGCUCCGCCCCUCCUUCCCUCGCCGGCCCCGCCUCCCUCCCGCUUGCCGUCGCCGCCGGCGCACGGGCCAUUGGGAAGAGGAGGUGGCCCGCGGCCCCUCGGAGUCCCACCAGGCUCGGUAGCCAUCUUGCGACUGGACAGAAAGGAUAAUCCCACCUUUUAGUUUCUGCUGUCUGUGACCCAAAAGAAUAAACCUGGGACUUCCAGAAGCCCUCUGGGCCCCCCCGCGCAGGAGGGUUGCAGAGCCCCUGGUGUACCCAGCGGAGGAACGCCUCCGACUUUGUUGGAAGACGAAUGGCUCCGGAAGUUAGCUGAAACCGCAGGAAUAGCCCCCAGCCCCGAGGCGGGGCAGGUGCCUGCCGUUAUUAGCUUUUCGACCCCAACCCUUUUCUAUCUGGAGCUGCCUUUGUAGAUGUUGCAGGGGUGCCCCGAGAGUGCAGGCCAGAUUUUAGAGGACCAAGGUCAUCUACUUAGGCCUCUUGCCAACACAGGAUGUGUCAACUAGUUUACCAGAGACGAAGUUUCAUGAAUUGCCUCUAUAGCCAAGACUACACAAGAAGUUACUGGAGCAAAAACCUGGAAGUCUAUCAAAUCAUGCUUUGACCUUGGUCAUCCCAAUCUCUUUGUGCCUGUCUUAACCCAGCUGGAGAGUAGGUGGAAAAGGGAAGCAUUUCAUUGAACACCAGCUGCUGCUGCUGCUAAUCUGAGCUGUUCUGAAUAAAACAGUUCCACUUGAAUCAA